rnacentral:rRNA from 1 species
UACAGAGGGUGCGAGCGUUGUCCGGAAUCACUGGGCGUAAAGAGCGCGUAGGCGGUCCGAUAAGUCGGCUGUGAAAGUCAGGGGCUCAACCCUUGAAAGCCGGCCGAUACUGUCGGACUAGAGUCCGGAAGAGGCAAGUGGAAUUCCCGGUGUAGCGGUGAAAUGCGCAGAUAUCGGGAGGAACACCAAUGGCGAAGGCAGCUUGCUGGGACGGUACUGACGCUGAGGCGCGAAAGCGUGGGGAGCAAACAGG